rnacentral:rRNA from 1 species
AACGAACGCUGGCGGCACGCCUAACACAUGCAAGUCGAGCGCUACCUUCGGGUGGAGCGGCGGACGGGUUAGUAACGCGUGGGAACAUGCCCUUCACUAAGGAAUAGCCACUGGAAACGGUGAGUAAUACCUUAUACGCCCUUCGGGGGAAAGAUUUAUCGGUGAAGGAUUGGCCCGCGUUAGAUUAGAUAGUUGGUGGGGUAACGGCCUACCAAGUCGACGAUCUAUAGCUGGUUUGAGGGGAUGAUCAGCAACACUGGGACUGAGACACGGCCCAGACUCCUACGGGAGGCAGCAGUGGGGAAUCUUAGACAAUGGGCGCAAGCCUGAUCUAGCGAUGCCGCGUGAGUGAUGAAGGCCUUAGGGUCGUAAAGCUCUUUCACCAGGGAUGAUAAUGACAGUACCUGGAAAAGAAACCCCGGCUAACUCCGUGCCAGCAGCCGCGGUAAUACGGAGGGGGUUAGCGUUGUUCGGAAUUACUGGGCGUAAAGCGUACGUAGGCGGAUUAGUAAGUUAGGGGUGAAAUCCCGGGGCUCAACCCCGGAACUGCCUUUAAUACUGCUAGUCUUGAGUUCGAGAGAGGUGAGUGGAAUUCCGAGUGUAGAGGUGAAAUUCGUAGAUAUUCGGAGGAACACCAGUGGCGAAGGCGGCUCACUGGCUCGAUACUGACGCUGAGGUACGAAAGUGUGGGGAGCAAACAGGAUUAGAUACCCUGGUAGUCCACACCGUAAACGAUGAAUGCCAGUCGUCAGCAAGCAUGCUUGUUGGUGACACACCUAACGGAUUAAGCAUUCCGCCUG